rnacentral:rRNA from 1 species
CGGACGGGUGAGUAACGCGUGAGAAUCUGGCUUCAGGUCUGGGACAACCACUGGAAACGGUGGCUAAUACCGGAUGUGCCGAAAGGUGAAAGGUUAACUGCCUGAAGAUGAGCUCGCGUCUGAUUAGCUAGUUGGUAGAGUAAAAGCCUACCAAGGCGACGAUCAGUAGCUGGUCUGAGAGGACGAUCAGCCACACUGGGACUGAGACACGGCCCAGACUCCUACGGGAGGCAGCAGUGGGGAAUUUUCCGCAAUGGGCGAAAGCCUGACGGAGCAAUACCGCGUGAGGGAGGAAGGCUCUUGGGUCGUAAACCUCUUUUCUCAGGGAAGAACACAAUGACGGUACUUGAGGAAUAAGCAUCGGCUAACUCCGUGCCAGCAGCCGCGGUAAUACGGAGGAUGCAAGCGUUAUCCGGAAUGAUUGGGCGUAAAGCGUCCGCAGGUGGCAAUGUAAGUCUGCUGUUAAAGAGUCUAGCUCAACUAGAUAAGAGCAGUGGAAACUACAUAGCUAGAGUACGUUCGGGGCAGAGGGAAUUCCUGGUGUAGCGGUGAAAUGCGUAGAGAUCAGGAAGAACACCGGUGGCGAAGGCGCUCUGCUAGGCCGUAACUGACACUGAGGGACGAAAGCUAGGGGAGCGAAUGGGAUUAGAUACCCCAGUAGUC